GUAGGUGGCAAGCGUUGUCCGGAAUUAUUGGCCGUAAAGCGCGCGCAGGCGGUUCUUUAAGUCUGAUGUGAAAGCCCACGGGCUCAACCGUGGAGGGUCAUUGGAAACUGGAGAACUUGAGUACAGAAGAGGAAAGCGGAAUUCCACGUGUAGCGGUGAAAUGCGUAGAGAUGUGGAGGAACACCAGUGGCGAAGGCGGCUUUCUGGUCUGUAACUGACGCUGAGGCGCGAAAGCGUGGGGAGCAAACAGGAUUAGAUACCCUGGUAGUCCACGCCGUAAACGAUGAGUGCUAAGUGUUAGGGGGUUUCCGCCCCUUAGUGCUGCAGCUAACGCAUUAAGCACUCCGCCUGGGGAGUACGGCCGCAAGGCUG
rnacentral:rRNA from 1 species